GAGUUUGAUCUUGGCUCAGAACGAACGCUGGCGGCAUGCCUAACACAUGCAAGUCGAACGAGAUCUUCGGAUCUAGUGGCGCACGGGUGCGUAACGCGUGGGAAUCUGCCCUUGGGUGCGGAAUAACUUCUCGAAAGGGAUGCUAAUACCGCAUAAUGUCGUAAGACCAAAGAUUUAUCGCCCAAGGAUGAGCCCGCGUAAGAUUAGCUAGUUGGUGGGGUAAAAGCCUACCAAGGCGACGAUCUUUAGCUGGUCUGAGAGGAUGAUCAGCCACACUGGGACUGAGACACGGCCCAGACUCCUACGGGAGGCAGCAGUGGGGAAUAUUGGACAAUGGGCGAAAGCCUGAUCCAGCAAUGCCGCGUGAGUGAUGAAGGCCCUAGGGUUGUAAAGCUCUUUUACCCGGGAUGAUAAUGACAGUACCGGGAGAAUAAGCUCCGGCUAACUCCGUGCCAGCAGCCGCAGU
rnacentral:rRNA from 1 species